AUUGAACGCUGGCGGCAUGCCUUACACAUGCAAGUCGAACGGCAGCAUGAUCUAGCUUGCUCGAUUGAUGGCGAGUGGCGAACGGGUGAGUAAUACAUCGGAACGUGCCCUGUAGUGGGGGAUAACUAGUCGAAAGAUUAGCUAAUACCGCAUACGACCUGAGGGUGAAAGUGGGGGACCGCAAGGCCUCAUGCUAUAGGAGCGGCCGAUGUCUGAUUAGCUAGUUGGUGAGGUAAAGGCUCACCAAGGCGACGAUCAGUAGCUGGUCUGAGAGGACGAUCAGCCACACUGGGACUGAGACACGGCCCAGACUCCUACGGGAGGCAGCAGUGGGGAAUUUUGGACAAUGGGCGAAAGCCUGAUCCAGCAAUGCCGCGUGUGUGAAGAAGGCCUUCGGGUUGUAAAGCACUUUUGUCCGGAAAGAAAUGGCUCUGGUUAAGACCUGGGGUCGAUGACGGUACCGGAAGAAUAAGGACCGGCUAACUACGU
rnacentral:rRNA from 1 species